CAGGCCUAACACAUGCAAGUCGAGCGGCAGCGCAGUCGUAGCAAUACGAUGGGCGGCGAGCGGCGGACGGGUGAGGAACACAUCGGAAUCUACCCUGUCGUGGGGGACAACGUAGGGAAACUUACGCUAAUACCGCAUACGACCUUUGGGUGAAAGUGGGGGACCGCAAGGCCUCACGCGAUUGGAUGAGCCGAUGUCCGAUUAGCUAGUUGGCGGGGUAAUGGCCCACCAAGGCGACGAUCGGUAGCUGGUCUGAGAGGACGACCAGCCACACUGGAACUGAGACACGGUCCAGACUCCUACGGGAGGCAGCAGUGGGGAAUAUUGGACAAUGGGGGCAACCCUGAUCCAGCCAUGCCGCGUGGGUGAAGAAGGCCUUCGGGUUGUAAAGCCCUUUUGUACGGGAAGAAAAGCUACGGGUGAAUACUCCGUGGUCAUGACGGUACCGUAAGAAUAAGCACCGGCUAACUUCGUGCCAGCAGCCGCGGUAAUACA
rnacentral:rRNA from 1 species